rnacentral:rRNA from 1 species
AGGGCACCACCAGGAGUGGAGCCUGCGGCUUAAUUUGACUCAACACGGGAAAACUCACCCGGCCCGGACACUGUAAGGAUUGACAGACUGAGAGCUCUUUCUUAAUUCGGUGGGUGGUGGUGCAUGGCCGUUCUUAGUUGGUGGAGCGAUUUGUCUGGUUAAUUCCGAUAACGAACGAGACUCUGGCCUAUUAAAUAGAUGGUAUAUCUAAAAGUAUAUCACGCUUCUUAGAGGGACAAGCGGCUUUUAGCCGCAUGAAAUAGAGCAAUAACAGGUCUGUGAUGCCCUUAGAUGUCCGGGGCUGCACGCGCGCUACACUGAAGGAGUCAGAGUGCUUGUGCCUGGUUCGGAAGAACCGGGUAACCCAAGUAAAUUCUUUCGUGCUUGGGAUAGGGAAUUGCAAUUAUUUCCCUUAAACGAGGAAUUCCCAGUAAAUGCGGGUCAUAAGCUCGCGUUGAUUACGUCCCUGCCCUUUGUACACACCGCCCGUCGCUACUACCGAUUGGAUGACUUAGUGAG